ensembl:lncRNA
CAUUUUGUCAAGCAAUUUCUUCUUCCAUCUCAACAAAACACCAUUGCUGAGUGAAUACCAUAGCAUGCAGUUAUAAAGGCAUGGUUGUGCCAGGCAUGUUGCAAAAUGGAUAGAAGAAAAAACCUUUGGUGCAAAAGACAGCUUAAGGACAGUUCUUUGAAAUUUGACUGGAUUUGUGUUUCUGAACUCAGGAAUAUACCCUCCUGGUACUGGGAAUGGCUGAGUCACUGUAGGCAAUGGACUUCAGAGGAAGAGACCAAACAGAAAAUCUGAACUGUCCGAUAUCUUCCAACCGCCUCUGCCUCUUUAAGUCACAAGUCCAAAUCAGUGACCAAAAGUUUACACAAAGAUUAUUCACUUUUUGGAUGUUUUCCCUACAGCCAAAGAUGCAUGUCUGUCAAACUGUGCUAUUGUGCUCUUUGUAGCAGUUGUAGUUUCCGUGGAAACCAGUAGGAGGCAUUACUUUCGGAGCAACCCAUGUAGAAAGUAUGCCAUGUGUAUUCCAGUUAGUGUCGGUGAACUGUGAAUGUAUUACCACUGUUUAUGUCUACUAAUAAUGUGUUGUAAUUAGCAAUAAAGUGUCUUCUGCAGAGGGUACAGGUGGGAUGUGCCUGACUGUGCUUGAAGAAAAUGGUACUUAGUUAUAUUACCCAAUAAAACAAUUUCAAGUUCCGUCCUCUGAACAGGGUAGAUCUGUUGUGUUAUCAUGUUGUCAGGAUGUGUAUAUGGUUUCAUUUAUUUUCUUUAUGGAAUCUGAAAGUCGUGCCUGUGUUUGCUGUUGUGGAUUAGUUUCUGCAUAGAUGUUUAGUGGAUUUGUUGAGUUCUCAUCGGCAGCAAUAAAAAUUAAUAUUGGAGUCAGUGGAAUGCAAAGUAAGGACCUGCAAAACAGUGACUAGAUGCAUUCAAACAGACUGGAAGAUGUUUGACUGAUGUGAGCUGUGACGGGAGGGCAGUGGUGGGAAAAAAGCCGUCAUUUUCCAGGAUAAUAAACCGGAGAAAAAAAUUAGGGAAUAGAAUUGUUCAUUGCAAAAUAAGAACCGUGUGUCUUCUGGAUUAGUUAUCCUCAGUGUUACAGUAUGGUUUCACAUAAAGUUUGUGAUAAAACUAUGCCUGUAGGAGGAAUUUGAGUGUUUUUAGUCCCAUAUGCAUGUAAAAUCUGUUUGAUUAAGAUUGAAAUGUGUAUGCAAAAGCCUGAUAAAUGAGAGUGCCAUGUGGCUGGAGGGAAUUAAGAAGGACAGCAUCAGGGAAGAACAGUAUAAAAAGGGAAAAGCAAAAUGGAUAGUACUGAAAUGAAUAACAUUGUGCCUUGAAGAAGUAAAAAAGCUGAAAAAUUCACUGAAGGAGCUCUCAAAAGCGUAUUAUGUUGUAAUAUUCCUUCGAGGCAGACAGGAAAAAAUAGGGUUUGAAAUUGCAACAGUCAGGCUUAGCAAGUGUUUCUUGGAAUAUGCAAUAUUUAUAUUAUCAGUGAGUAUGUGAUGAUUAGGAAGGUAUUUUCAAUACACUCUUAUAUUAACCCCUUCAUGAUCUUUUCAAAUCGAUGGAUAAAUGGUCACAGAAUAAUUGAAAGACUUGUCUGUGAGUCCUGAAAAUAGAAGUGAAGGAGCAGCAAGGUCAGGUGCUGUGACUUGCCUUGAACUCUCUUCUAGAGUUUGCCAUCCCCCGGGCAUCUGUAAGGCAAACAGUUCGGACUUUAUAACAUUGAGGGUAGCUAUUUUUACAAAUCACUAACUAGAGUUCCUAGAAUUCUCUUUACAUUUUUUAUAUGGGAGGAUUUCUUUUAUCUGUUUCUAAUCAAGUAGUGAUGGCCUGUCAGCUGAAUGCUGGAAUAACUGCAUUAAGUAUGUGAACUGCCAUACCUAUUCCCACAUUCUAUUGAAUAAAUAUUUCCAAAGUCUGCCCAAGGUAUUGAUGAAUGUAGUCACACCUGGUAUUUUGAAAUACACUUCAUGUAAUGUCUUUAGUGUAGAAUUACAACUGUAAGGCCAAUGCAGAAGUGAGACUAAACUGCUGUGUAAUUCACACCUCUUUCUGCCCUGCACAUUAUGCCCUUCGGCUCAGAGCUGGUUUAGGUGUGGAGAAUUUGAAGUCUGUGCUCUGUGUUGUGAUGCAUGUUUGAAAAUGUGUACAAAUCAAAGAAACCUGGAAAUUACCCAAGAAGACCAUGUAAGCACCGAUACUGCUGAGGUUAUUUUUCACUUCUAACUUUCUUCUUUAUUAAAAAAAACAAAAACAUGAUUCCAUUCUAAUCAGUUUGACUCAGUCUGUAUUCAGAAACAAUAUAUUUCAAAGUAAAUACAUUUUUAGAAUGAUUUCAUGGCUCUCCCACGUGGUUUAUUUGCUCAAAAAUGUAAUAAAAACUAUUCUCUUCUCAGCUGGAAGAGUUUUUACUGCACUCCAUGGCCUAUCACCCUUUAGUGCUAAAUUAUAACUGCAUGUUAGAGUAAAAAUAUCAGUGUUUACAUAGUACUUCUCAUUCAGAAGGAUCCAAAAGUACUUCAUAACCUUGAAAAACUAUAAUACAAACAAUGACAAGGCAUACUUUACCCCAUCAUUGAAAUGCAGGCAGGAUGCUGGACUUGAUAGAGUAAUCAUCUGCUGUGAUAUGGCAUAUCCUGUAUUCCUGCGUUGUUGUGGCUGCUCUGGGGAGUAUAUGCAUAGAAUUGGAAAUGAUGUAUUGUACUUCCUAUAUAACUCUUUAUUUGGUGUUGUUAAAAAUAAAUAUUGCAAAG